UUCAUCACCUUCCCUGGCCACAGAAGACCCCUCUACAUCAAGGAGGAGUUUUACAAGAUUGCAGCUUUCCCUAACAUCAUUGGGGCAGUGGAUUGCACACACAUAAGAAUCAGACGCCCCUCAGGUGAACAUGAGGGAGAUUACAUUAACAGGAAAUCCUUCCACAGCAUCAAUGUUCAGAUGAUCUGUGAUGCUGACUGCCUUGUGAGCAAUUUAGAGGCAAA